GGUAACUGUGAACAGUCUACAAGAACACGAAAGUAACUAAAAUGGAGUGUGCAUCAUGUCCCCCGAGAAAGUUACCAGAAGGGAAGAAGUAUCAUGUCUCCGUAUUAUACAAUCACCAUGAAGGACCAGCAAGUAAACGUGAUGAGGAUCAGAUUAAUUCUUACAACUUCGUGAAAUUACUUGAACAGAUGUUAAAUGGCUUGCCAUUUACGAAAUUGAAUUAUUUCGAUAAUUUGUUACCCGGAAGAAAUAUGUUCGCCAAUCCCUUAACGAUGAUAAAGGAUUCGGAACGUGUGGUUAUGGUUUUAACUGAAGGGUACAUGGAAAACGCCUUCAAUACCUUUGCACAACAAAACAACGUAAUGGCAGCAGUGAAAGAAGGUGUACUCAAUUCUGCUAUUCUGCCCGUUUCCUUAGGUCUUUCCAAGAAAGAGGACAUAAAACGAGAACUAGGAUUAGACACCGCAAAUGUUUUGUUUUUUGAGGCCGACUGGAAAAAUGAUAAAGAAUCCUGGAGGAUGUUAAAAAAAGCGUUCGUCCAAAACACGUCAUUCUCAACAAUUCGCCGCUCAGUUCAAGACACCAAUCAAGCGAAUGCAGAAGAUCUCGAAACAGAUUAUCCUUCUCUUUCUGGUUCUACGGACAGAACAAUCAAAUCAGGUUUUCGCAAGAUUAUGGAUAUCAUUGUUUUUCUACCACAGUUUCUGGACCCAGGACAAUAUGUUUAAAUAUGAUAUCUACCUACCAUAUCCGUCUAUUUGUUAUAAAUAUGUUAUAUAUACCUACCAUCUCCGUCUAUUGGUAAACGGUCUCAAAUAAAUGGCGGCCAAUGUACAUCAUACUUUUUAUUGUAUGGAAACUGAAACCUUGCAUUACUUCGUUUAAGUAUUACAUAAUUUCAUGUAGUUGCAAGCAUCUUUCCUCUCGAACAAACCAGUUUUGUUUUUGCAAUGAUUUAUAAUAAACAUAUAAAGGAAU